rnacentral:lncRNA from 1 species
CACUUACUGGGUCGCUUCAUUUUCCUGGAUCUUAGUUUUGCAUAUGUGAAAUACGUUUAAUAACAAGGCUUAAAUAUUAGGACGGUUCAGACAAUUCAAUGAAUUUAUAUUUGCUAAGUUCUUAGACCAGUUUGGGGAAUAGUAAUUUCUGUAUAUGUUUACAAAGACCAUAAAUUUAGAUGGUGAAGGAAUAGUAAUUAGUCUUCUGUGAGGUAAAUGGAAGUUUACAAAAUUGGAAAAGGCAGAAACACAGUGAUAGAUAAUUUGUAUUUAAUUACCUUGUCUCUCAGAGACCAGUGCACAUUUUGAAAGAAGAGAAUAAAAUGUUACAGUCACAUUUUUGUUUUAGAAUUAUAUUUUUUCAGCAGAGUGGGAGAAAUACUGCCAUUCAGCAAAGGAGCCAGAGGGGGAAAUAAACUAGUUAGAAGAUUAUUGUAAUAGUUCUGAUGAUUAAUGGCAUGGUUUUGAACCAGGUUGGGAAAGGUGGAAUGGAAGGUACAGAACGUGUCAGACUUUAUUUACAGUAGGACAUGGAAGAUAAAAGGGAAUUUCUAGCUUGUACACUUGGUGAAUAGUGCUGCUAUUAAUGAAUGUUCAAAUACAAGAGGUUAAGGGUCAAUUUUGUUGAUAAGAUGUGACAUGUAAUAAAGACUUUAUUAUAGACCUUUCGAAUAUGAGGUAUUAAUUAUAUAAUUACAUAAAGCUAUAUGGUGAGUGUGUACAAAUUAAUACUAGAUCGGAAGCACAAUGAGGACAAGUAAUAUUAAUUUUCUGCCCAUCAGCCUCGUGGCAACAUGAAAAUAAAGACUAAAGAUUGGUCAGAAGCAUCAGACACUGCAAAAAGGUGAAGUAAAUAGGAGAUCAAGAUCCAGAAUUGGACAUUUGGCACUUGCUGUUUGUUAUCUCUAAGAGAAAUUCCAGAGUAUAAAACAACAGCAUGCCCUUUAUAUUCCAACUGUUUUCUUUUCUUUUCCAGAACGGUCAUGCAACAGUUCAUUUUAUAAGUGCAAAAUGGCACGUGCAUUCCUAGUGGAAGUCUUCGUGAAUAUAAGGAUGGCUGUGGCAAAGGUACAGAUGCGAGAAACUGCCAUAUAAAUGAAUGUUUAAAUAAGGAAGUCAGUGGAUGUUCUCAAGAUUGUCAGGACCUUCCAGUCAGUUAUAAGGUAGCAAUUCAUCAAAAGUAGCAAUUCAUAUAAUACAGUAGAAUUUGAGAUCAAGAAACUAGUUAAUUCAAUAUAGAUGAAAACUUAAAAGCCAUCAUGUUAUAAAACUAAUUAUAUGGAGAGUGUUUAUAUAAAGAUAAUAUAAUAAUAGUGUGGAAUGAACAUUGUGAGAAUAUAGUUAAGAAGACAAAAAUAAAAUUACAGCACUUUUCAACAUAUUCAGAGCAGAAAAGACAUAAAUAAACCAGGGAAGACUAGUGUUCAGGGUCAGU